GACCUCGUGUUAGGGUAGAGUACCCGCCAAAUUUAAGCAUAUUAAUAAGCGGAGGAAAAGAAACCAACAGGGAUUCCCUUAGUAAGGGCGACUGAACCGGGAAAAGCCCAGCGCAUAACCUGGCGUCGUGACCCGGCGCCAGGGGUGUUGCGUUUCGGAGGGUCCGGCACGCAGUCUCUCACCGCCUAAGUUAUGCUUGAAAGCGGCCACUACCCAUGGAGGGUGACAGGCCCGUGUGGCGGAGCCCGCGAGGGUACGCGAGAGAUUGUCGGAAAGGGCCUCUCUGUAGAGUCGGGUUGCUUGAGAAUGCAGCCCUAAGCAGGUGGUAAACUCCAUCUAAGGCUAAAUAUGACCACGAGACCGAAUAGCGAA
rnacentral:rRNA from 1 species